rnacentral:tRNA from 1 species
UCUAAUGUGACAGAUUAUAUGUAAUGGAUUUAAACCUCAUUUAUAAAGGAAAUCCUUUCUUUAGAA